rnacentral:rRNA from 1 species
UAGGGAAUCUUCCGCAAUGGACGAAAGUCUGACGGAGCAACGCCGCGUGAGUGAUGAAGGUUUUCGGAUCGUAAAGCUCUGUUGUUAGGGAAGAACAAGUACCGUUCGAAUAGGGCGGUGCCUUGACGGUACCUAACCAGAAAGCCACGGCUAACUACGUGCCAGCAGCCGCGGUAAUACGUAGGUGGCAAGCGUUGUCCGGAAUUAUUGGGCGUAAAGCGCGCGCAGGUGGUUCCUUAAGUCUGAUGUGAAAGCCCACGGCUCAACCGUGGAGGGUCAUUGGAAACUGGGGAACUUGAGUGCAGAAGAGGAAAGUGGAAUUCCAAGUGUAGCGGUGAAAUGCGUAGAUAUUUGGAGGAACACCAGUGGCGAAGGCGACUUUCUGGUCUGUAACUGACACUGAGGCGCGAAAGCGUGGGGAGCAAACAGGAUUAGAUACCCUGGUAGUCCACGCCGUAAACGAUGAGUGCU